rnacentral:rRNA from 1 species
GAUGAACGCUGGCGGCGUGCCUAAUACAUGCAAGUCGAGCGAACAGACGAGGAGCUUGCUCCUCUGACGUUAGCGGCGGACGGGUGAGUAACACGUGGAUAACCUACCUAUAAGACUGGGAUAACUUCGGGAAACCGGAGCUAAUACCGGAUAAUAUAUUGAACCGCAUGGUUCAAUAGUGAAAGACGGUUUUGCUGUCACUUAUAGAUGGAUCCGCGCCGCAUUAGCUAGUUGGUAAGGUAACGGCUUACCAAGGCAACGAUGCGUAGCCGACCUGAGAGGGGGAUAGGCCACACUGGAACUUGGACACGGUCCAGACUCCGACGGGAGGCAGCAGUAGGGAAUCUUCAGCAAUGGGCGAAAGACUGACGGAGCAACGCGGCGUGAGUGAUGAAGGUCUUCGGAUCGUAAAACUCUGUUAUUAGGGAAGAACAAAUGUGUAAGUAACUAUGCACGUCUUGACGGUACCUAAUCAGAAAGCCACGGCUAACUACGUG